CCUACGGGAGGCUGCAGUGGGGAAUAUUGCACAAUGGGGGAAACCCUGAUGCAGCGACGCCGCGUGAGUGAAGAAGUAAUUCGUUUUGUAAAGCUCUUUCAGCAGGGAAGAAAAUGACGGUAUCUGAGGAAGAAGCCCCGGCUAACUACGUGCCAGCAGCCGCGGUAAUACGUAGGGGGCAAGCGUUACUCGGAAUUACUGGGCGUAAAGGGAGCGUAGACGGGAGUGCAAGUCAGGCGUGAAAGGCUAGGGCUUAACCCCCGGACUGCUCUGGAAACUGUGCGGCUGGAGUGCGGGAGAGGUAUGUGGAAUUCGUGGUGUAGCGGUAAAAUGCGUAGAUAUUAAGAGGAACACCAAUUGCGAAGGCGGCUUACUGGAACGUAACUGACGUUGAGGCUCGAAAGCGUGGGGAGCAAACAGGAUUAGAUACCCCGGUAGUC
rnacentral:rRNA from 1 species